rnacentral:rRNA from 1 species
GAAAGGGAAGCGCUUGUGACCAGACUUGGGCUUGGUUGAUCAUCCGGGGUUCUCCCCGGUGCACUCUUCCGGCCCAGGCCAGCAUCAGUUCGCCCUGGGGGACAAAGGCAGCGGGAAUGUGGCUCUCUCCGGGGAGUGUUAUAGCCCGCUGCGCAAUACCCUGCGGCGGACUGAGGUUCGCGCAUUCGCAAGGAUGCUGGCGUAAUGGUCAUCAGUGACCCGUCUUGAAACACGGACCAAGGAGUCGUCUUCGUAUGCGAGUGUUCGGGUGUCAAACCCCUACGCGAAAUGAAAGUGAACGCAGGUGAGAGCUUCGGCGCAUCAUCGACCGAUCCUGAUGUUAUCGGAUGGAUUUGAGUAAGAGCAUACGGGGCCGGACCCGAAAGAAGGUGAACUAUGCCUGUGUAGGGUGAAGCCAGAGGAAACUCUGGUGGAGGCUCGCAGCGGUUCUGACGUGCAAAUCGAUCGUCAAACAUGGGCAUGGGGGCGAAAGACUAAUCGAACCUUCUAGUA